GGAAGUUGUCUGAUGAAGAUGGCUGUAUUUGUAAGGUGGCUGGUCUGAUUUCAUGGCCAUCAGAAUCAAGGUACAAAGUGGGGCCAGAAUAAAAGCUCCAGGGACUUCCUGGCAGUGGCAGAUUCAGACAGGAGUCAAGUCUGAUUGGUCAAUUGCAUGUGACCAGUACUGCUUAGUGUGGCAUUAAACAAACCAAUCCACCGACAAUAUGCAGUGGCAUUAUGGCAUUCAGCAAUUCCACACUGUAUCAUCACAGACCCAAAUCGUCAUGCUUCCACAGGUUGAUGUUUGUUAGGAUGCCUCCAGACACAUACAUGCCUUUCCAG